rnacentral:rRNA from 1 species
GACGAACGCUGGCGGCGUGCUUAACACAUGCAAGUCGAACGAUGAAGCUGGAGCUUGCUCCGGUGGAUUAGUGGCGAACGGGUGAGUAACACGUGGGUGAUCUGCCCUGCACUUCGGGAUAAGCCUGGGAAACUGGGUCUAAUACCGGAUAGGACCACUGCCUGCAUGGGUGGUGGUGGAAAGCUUUUGCGGUGUGGGAUGGGCCCGCGGCCUAUCAGCUUGUUGGUGGGGUGAUGGCCUACCAAGGCGACGACGGGUAGCCGGCCUGAGAGGGUGACCGGCCACACUGGGACUGAGAUACGGCCCAGACUCCUACGGGAGGCAGCAGUGGGGAAUAUUGCACAAUGGGCGCAAGCCUGAUGCAGCGACGCCGCGUGAGGGAUGACGGCCUUCGGGUUGUAAACCUCUUUCAGCACCGACGAAGCGCAAGUGACGGUAGGUGCAGAAGAAGGACCGGCCAACUACGUGCCAGCCGCCGCAGUAA